CAAUUGAACCAACCAGAUGUACUGCAUCCUUCCACCUAAAUGAUUUUCACUUUAAAAGGUCAGCAUCCAAGGUGUACACAUUUGGCAAGAGUUUAUCUGUUAAUUCCAGUGGUUGGUCAAAGCAUCAAAUGUAACGGGAUGGGAGAAAUCUGAUGGACCAGACCGGGAUUCCAACCCAGGCCAUCUGAAUUUCUAAGUUCAAGUACUCUUCUAACUGAUACAUGACCUAUUUGUAUCUGGUGCAUGCAAACAGUCUGGUCUGAGGAGUUGAGCCCUUGCAUGACAAAUGACAUUUCUUGACUUACUCAUUUUAGCUCACUGAGACAAAGUCGUGGGGAAGCUUAUGCUAUACCCUCCUCGUCGGCGUCGGCAUCUGGACCUGGUUAAAUUUUUUUGUAUCUAAGAUAUUGCUUAUCCUAUUUUCACCAAACUUGCAUGGAUGAUGGAUCUGGACCUACUUAUGGACUUGAAAGAUUUGGAUGCUGAAUCUAGGCCAUGAAUUUCAGAAGUUCAGGUUUUGGGAGCAGGUUAAAGUUUUUGGCACAGGUGCCCUUUGAUAGCAAUUUCUAAGUUACUGAUGGUCCUUACUUUACCAAACUUACAUGGAUGGUCCGUUUUCGGAUACUGAUGCACCAAACAGGCUUGAAUGCUGAAUCUGAGGUUUUGGAUCCUGGAGGAGGUUAAGGUUUUUAGAGCUGAUUAAAGAUUUUGGAGCAGGUACCCUCUGAUGAUCAUAUCUUAGUUAUUGCUGGUCCCAACUUCACUAAACUUGCAUGGAUGGUGGGUCUUAUGAUACUGAUGCAUCUGACAGGCUUGAAUGCUGAAUCUGAGCCAUAGGUUUCGGAUGCUGGAUGAGGUUUAGUUUGUGUUUUUUAGAACAGGUUACAUGUUUUAUGGAUAAUAGCUUGCAUAGUUGACUUUACUAUAAUAUGAAUGAAUUGCAGAGGUAGCUUCAGAAGCAAAACCUGAUCUCCAUUAUUAAGGAUGUUAAAAAAGUCUCCUACCUCACUCAGACCUCGUCGAUAGAUUUGUUUGUUGUUAAAUGAUAUUGCAUGAUUUCUAUGAUGGAUAGUAUUGUAUGAUAUACUAUUGUUUUAUAUGAUACAAUAUAAUAUCAUAUCAUAUUGUAAAAAGUUAAAAUUAUAUGAUAUGAUAUUGUAUCAAAGUCUUUGUAUAUUAUGAUAUGAUUUUGCAUCAUGAUAAUAUGGUUAUGUAUAGUAUUAUAAUUAUGAUACAGUAUUGUAUAGUAUGAUUUUGUAUUACAUUUAAUUUUAUCACAUGAUAUUGUUUCAUAUGAUAUUGCAAUAUAUAAUAUUGUAUCAUAUGAUACAAAAUAUCGUUUCAUUUGAUAUGAUAUUGUAUGAUAUGAUAUUGGUUUAUUUAUUUUUAUAUCACAAGAAAUUGUAUUAUAUGAUAUUGUACACAUGUAUAUAAUAUUGUGUGUUAAAUCGGGAUUUCGUUUAUAUUUAUUAUUAGUAUUUCGAUCCCGAUGUGAUUUAUUCUAUUACUUUGGUAACGCCCACUUUAUACGAUAGCCAAUAACUUUAAUGACAGUUGUCUAUUGUUCUGUCCCAUAUAUAAAGCCGUGUAAGUGACCUUAUUUGACGAGGGAGACGGUUGGUUUCACUAGCUACUUUUCUCCAAACAGAGAGAGGGAGGGAGACAGCUGGUUUCGCUAGCUACAUUUCUCCUGAGUCCCCGUCUCGUCUGUCUAUUUGAGGUCCCUGUUAAAGUUAGGUUUUAGGGUUGUGGGAUUUUAAGUACUUGCUAUUGACUUGUGUUCUUAUUUUGUUAUAAUAAAUUUAUAAAGGGU
rnacentral:sRNA from 1 species